rnacentral:rRNA from 1 species
AGAACGAACGCUGGCGGCAGGCUUAACACAUGCAAGUCGAGCGCCCCGCAAGGGGGAGCGGCAGACGGGUGAGUAACGCGUGGGAAUCUACCUAGCUCUUCGGAAUAGCUCCGGGAAACUGGAAUUAAUACCGAGUACGCCCUACGGGGGAAAGAUUUAUCGGAGUUAGAUGAGCCCGCGUUGGAUUAGCUAGUUGGUGGGGUAAUGGCCUACCAAGGCGACGAUCCAUAGCUGGUCUGAGAGGAUGAUCAGCCACACUGGGACUGAGACACGGCCCAGACUCCUACGGGAGGCAGCAGUGGGGAAUAUUGGACAAUGGGCGCAAGCCUGAUCCAGCCAUGCCGCGUGAGUGAUGAAGGCCCUAGGGUUGUAAAGCUCUUUCAGUGGGGAAGAGUAAUGAACGGUACCCACAGAAGAACGCCCCGGACCAACCUCGCGCCAGCACGCCGC